rnacentral:rRNA from 1 species
GGCGAACGGGUGAGUAACACGUGAGUAACCUGCCCUUGACUUUGGGAUAACUUCAGGAAACUGGGGCUAAUACCGGAUAGGAGCUCCUGCUGCAUGGUGGGGGUUGGAAAGUUUCGGCGGUUGGGGAUUGACUCGCGGCUUAUCAGCUUGUUGGUGGGGUAGUGGCUUACCAAGGCUUUGACGGGUAGCCGGCCUGAGAGGGUGACCGGCCACAUUGGGACUGAGAUACGGCCCAG